CACGCAGGCGGUUGGAUAAGUUAGAUGUGAAAGCCCCGGGCUCAACCUGGGAAUUGCAUUUAAAGCUGUCCAGCUAGAGUCUUGUAGAGGGGGUAGAAUUCCAGGUGUAGCGGUGAAAUGCGUAGAGAUCUGGAGGAAUACCGGUGGCGAAGGCGGCCCCCUGGACAAAGACUGACGCUCAGGUGCGAAAGCGUGGGGAGCAAACA
rnacentral:rRNA from 1 species